rnacentral:rRNA from 1 species
CCCUACGGGAGGAGCAGUGGGGAAUUUUGGACAAUGGGCGCAAGCCUGAUCCAGCAAUGCCGCGUGAGUGAAGAAGGCCUUCGGGUUGUAAAGCUCUUUUGUCAGGGAAGAAACGGUGAAGGCUAAUAUCCUUUGCUAAUGACGGUACCUGAAGAAUAAGCACCGGCUAACUACGUGCCAGCAGCCGCGGUAAUACGUAGGGUGCAAGCGUUAAUCGGAAUUACUGGGCGUAAAGCGUGCGCAGGCGGUUUUGUAAGUCUGUCGUGAAAUCCCCGGGCUCAACCUGGGAAUUGCGAUGGAGACUGCAAGGCUAGAAUCUGGCAGAGGGGGGUAGAAUUCCACGUGUAGCAGUGAAAUGCGUAGAUAUGUGGAGGAACACCGAUGGCGAAGGCAGCCCCCUGGGUCAAGAUUGACGCUCAUGCACGAAAGCGUGGGGAGCAAACAGGAUUAGAUACCCUGGUAGUCCACGCCCUAAACGAUGUCUACUAGUUGUCGGGUCUUAAUUGACUUGGUAACGCAGCUAACGCGUGAAGUAGACCGCCUGGGGAGUACGGUCGCAAGAUUAAAACUAAAG